UUUAUUUAUUUUUUUAAAUCAACACCCUAACUUGCAUUCAUCUUCUACUUAUCAAAAUUCGAAAGUGUAUUUUAUGCAAAAAGAAAGAAGGUUGCGGAAAUGGGACCUUUUUUACUGUCCUUUUUUUGCUGUGACCAAUGUAGGGAGACACAUGGCUCAAUAAGAAAGAUUGUUUAACAAAAUUGAAAAAAUGUAUUUAGGGGGUAGCUUUGUUCUACCUUCUGUAAUUGUGCCAUGGAGACAAGCUUCAGUUCGGUUAAAUUACAAAUUGAAGAGCGGCGGAGCAAGGAAAUUCCGUUGAACGAAGGAAUUAUUAAGGCAUCUAUAAAUCUUAUGAAGCAAUCAGAAGAUGAAAAAAUUGUACUAUUGCCAUGGACGAAAGAAAUGUAUGAAUAUGAUGCUGACGGUUGUAUCAUAGUAGUUCUUGCAAGUGGAAUAAGGAAGUCGUGGAAACAACCAAUUUUUUUAAUCAGUUUGUCCAAUGACGUAGGUUAUACUAUAAUAACUGCAUAAUGCAGGACAUGGGACAUUCAAACAGAAAAUUGUUAAAAUUCAUUUAUAGUUUUUGUUGUUUGGUUUAAAUUUGUAUUAAUAAAACGUUGUGUAAGAGUUGUCUAUUUUAAAAAAUAAUAAUUUUACGCACCAACAUA